UUUCUGUCUGCACGAGAAUAAACUCAAGUCAUCUCUCAAGCUGUCUCCUGAUUCCUGAUUCUGACUCCUGAUUCCUGAAAGCCGAAUUUCUAACAACUUGGUGCCGUGACCCGGAUGGCCUACUGAAACCUACUUGAUCUGUUGGAGCCAGACAGUGCUCCAGCCAAUCCAGCAUGGCGAGAACAAUUUGUGACGUGUCGGACGCAAGCCUCAACAGUUGAAGAGACAACUGAUGUUCAAAGUGGACUUCCCAGAUUACCUGCCUUUCACCGACAUUGAAGCAAUCGCCAUGGACAUCCACACACACACACACACGCAAACACAAUGUGGCUGCUCAAAAGAGGAGAUGUGUGAUGUAAGAGGAGACAUCACCACAUGGGAGCAAGCCUCUUGGAAAACCAUGGACAACUACUGAAACUUUCUUCAUUAUUCUUCAGGAACAUUUUUGGGACCAAGUAACAGCCAUAAACAGAUCCAAUACUUGGUUACAUCAACUUUUCUGACAUUUAUGGUACAAUUACAGUUGUAUAGUUACAGCUCUUUAAUUGUUUAUACAUAUGACAAUUUAUUGUACAUAGUUUUGUGAUUCUCCAUGUUGGGAGAAUCAGAGGGAGCAAUGAGAGAUUCUGUCAACAACAAAUUGUACUUUUAUUAAGUUUUCUUAGGUUCUAAACUGUCUCACUCCUUAACCCCCCUUUUUCCCUAUACACUCCUAACCUUUUGCCCCUCACCCUUAUCUCUCACAUCUCUCCUUUGUUUAACAUAAGUUGGUAGAGACACCCCCAAUGAUGACACCCCCCACAUACUCCUCCAUAAACCCUUACCCUUUCUCCCCCUGCUGUGUUCAAAGCAGUUUCUCCUGUAUGUAAAGUCCUGCUAAAAUGUCUUAGUAGCUCAGUCUAGUUGAGUCUCGGUCAGAGAGUCUCACACAGACAGUAACAGACAGACAAGUCACAUGGACUAGUCAGGCGGACACAGAGGGAGCAACGACCAACUAAGCUGUGCCCGUGUAGAUUUUCUGUCUGCACGAGAAUAAACUCAAGUCAUCUCUCAA